rnacentral:rRNA from 1 species
AGAAUCAACGCUGGCGGCGUGCCUCAGACAUGCAGGUCGAACGCGAAAGUUUCCUUCGGGAAACAAGUAGAGUGGCGCACGGGUGAGUAACACGUAGGUAAUCUACCUUUGGAUGGGGAAUAACAACCGGAAACGGUUGCUAAUACCGCAUAAUGCAGCGGCACCUAAUGGUGACAGUUGUUAAAGCGGGGGAUCGAAAGACCUCGCGUCUAAAGAGGAGCCUGCGGCGGAUUAGCUAGUUGGUAAGGUAACGGCUUACCAAGGCUACGAUCCGUA